GUGAACUUAUGUUUGGCCCAGAACCGCGGAGCCGGUCCGGACGACGCACGGGAACCCAAAACAUCCUCUUCUCUUUUUCUUUCUUCUUUUCUUCUCUCUGUCUGGUCGAGAAAAAAAAACUCUGGCGGCAGCAAGGUGAAGCUACGGGCUUGACGUUGUGGUUUGGUUUUUACUGUUUAGCCUGACGUAACCCUGACAGAGUAGGAAGUGCAAGGAAGAAAGUAACAAGGUGAAAUAACAGCCGGAGCAGGCAUGGCAGUCGGGGGGUGGGAGGCUCCAGAGUAGUGGAAAGGCCUGAUUUUUAUCCUGCAUUUCUGCUGUCGUCGAUUAUUAUUAUUAUUUUUUACGCUUUUGUGUUCAGACCUGUUUUAUCACAUUUCAUAAUUUCUUGACCUGAUCCAUAAAGUUUGAGGUAGUCAUAUCAAUCAAUUGAUCACAUCGAUCAAUACGAAAUCCACCCAAUCCAUCCAACCAACCAUGACCCGGCGAUUACAUUUUAGUAAUUAGUCCUUGUUUUUUUUUACAAAUUAUGAGAAAACCAAACAAGUUAAGUUAUACUUCCCAAUGUUCCUAUUUUAUAUUCCGUCUCCAAUUACUCAUGUUAUGUCAUUGAUUCCUCCUCCUUCCCUCUAUAACAGAUUAGUGCCUUGAGUUUCAACUGGUGGACUCUCAGCCAGUAUACUGGGCUAUAUCAGUUGUGUUGAACUCCACUACUUGCUGUAUUGUAUGACAUGAAUGUUGAUAAGGCUUGAACGGUGUGAUAUUGUAAUUAAUACUCCUUUAUUAUUUAUUAUUUCAGCAGUUUUUUUGGACCCAAGUGUAGAGAAUGUUUUUCACCAAGAAAAUCCCAGAGUAUUGUAUUUUAAGCCAAACUUAACAAAAAAUACAUUCCCGUAAAACGAUUGUAGACUGCACCUCACUUUUGAUUUGUUUAAAUAAAGUUGCUUUAUAGCCUUGGGUGGCGUGGUGAUAUUGGAGUUUUGUACAGAGAGAGAACAGCCAUAGUGUCGGAGCCCCCUUCUGUUCUGGACUUCUGAAUGAGCGAGACUUCCACUGCUCUGUCCAUCUUUAUGCCUCCUUCCCCUCAUUCUAUCUUUCCGUCUCCUCUCUUCUCCAUGAGGAAUACGUUUGCUUCUCAGUGAGGACAGUACAAUAGUUUAGACAGGCUUUCUGAAAGCAGUUGGCAGGGAGGUGGGGGGGCUGUUCCAAGAGAAAGUGACAGACUGCUCCCCCCGGGUUCUCAGGAAAGGUCAGAGGUCAAGGCUGCAUCUAAUUCUGCCUUGUUUUUCGUUUUUUUUCUUUUCCUUUUGAAGGAGAGGAAGACGGCUUGACAGUGAUGUUGUCCCCUUGAGGCAAAUUCGACGUGCAGGAAGAUAUCCGCUGUCUCGUUCAGACCGUUUAAAAUGCAUGAGGUGAUUGUCCAUGAGUGUGUUGUAUUAAUGGACGUUGUUCAAGUGUCCGCAAAGGGGAACCCAUCUAACCUCUUCACACGUGGCGGAGGAAUUAGAUAGCCUGGAGGUCCAAUGGGAGUUAGCGUGUCUGGAUAUGGGGUUUCUGGUUCUUUCGGUGGUACCGGUAGUACAUAUAGAUGCUUAGCAGACCUAGCCAUGCCUCUUCUCAGAACCCUCUCUUCCUGGUACCAAAUGAACCCCACAUCCUCACCACCCCCCCUAUACCAUGUCUCC
ensembl:lncRNA